CGGUGUUUAACUGGCGUGAUGUGGGACGUCCUACCGGUGGGCUUAGCCUCGCGAGGGGCGGCCCAACUAAUAUCCCGUCGCGGUGCUCUUUACUGAGUGUCGAGUCGGGCCGGUACGUUUACUUUGAACAAAUUAGAGUGCUUAAAGCAGGCUAUCCUCGCCUGAAUACUGCGUGCAUGGAAUAAUGGAAUAGGACCUCGGUUCUAUUUUGUUGGUUUUCGGAACCCCGAGGUAAUGAUUAAUAGGGACAGAUGGGGGCAUUCGUAUUGCGACGUUAGAGGUGAAAUUCUUGGAUCGUCGCGAGACGGACAGAAGCGAAAGCAUUUGCCAAAAAUGUUUUCAUUAAUCAAGAACGAAAGUUAGAGGUUCGAAGGCGAUCAGAUACCGCCCUAGUUCUAACCAUAAACGAUGCCAGCUAGCGAUCCGCCGAAGUUCCUCCGAUGACUCGGCGGGCAGCUUCCGGGAAACCAAAGCUUUUGGGUUCCGGGGGAAGUAUGGUUGCAAAGCUGAAACUUAAAGGAAUUGACGGAAGGGCACCACCAGGAGUGGAGCCUGCGGCUUAAUUUGACUCAACACGGGAAACCUCACCAGGCCCAGACACCGGAAGGAUUGACAGAUUGAUAGCUCUUUCUUGAUUCGGUGGGUGGUGGUGCAUGGCCGUUCUUAGUUGGUGGAGCGAUUUGUCUGGUUAAUUCCGAUAACGAACGAGACUCUAGCCUGCUAAAUAGGCGUACCUUAUGGUAUCGCGAAGGCCCCCGGCUUCGGCCGGUGGGUUUUUACUACCAACGUACAAACAAAUCUUCUUAGAGGGACAGGCGG
rnacentral:rRNA from 1 species